AGAGUUUGAUCAUGGCUCAGGACGAACGCUGGCGGCGUGCUUAACACAUGCAAGUCGAACGAUGAUCUCCAGCUUGCUGGGGGGAUUAGUGGCGAACGGGUGAGUAACACGUGAGUAACCUGCCCUUAACUCUGGGAUAAGCCUGGGAAACUGGGUCUAAUACCGGAUAUGACUCCUCAUCGCAUGGUGGGGGGUGGAAAGCUUUUGUGGUUUUGGAUGGACUCGCGGCCUAUCAGCUUGUUGGUGAGGUAAUGGCUCACCAAGGCGACGACGGGUAGCCGGCCUGAGAGGGUGACCGGCCACACUGGGACUGAGACACGGCCCAGACUCCUACGGGAGGCAGCAGUGGGGAAUAUUGCACAAUGGGCGCAAGCCUGAUGCAGCGACGCCGCGUGAGGGAUGACGGCCUUCGGGUUGUAAACCUCUUUCAGUAGGGAAGAAGCGAAAGUGACGGUACCUGCAGAAGAAGCGCCGGCUAACUACGUGCCAGCAGCCGCGGUAAUACGUAGGGCGCAAGCGUUAUCCGGAAUUAUUGGGCGUAAAGAGCUCGUAGGCGGUUUGUCGCGUCUGCCGUGAAAGUCCGGGGCUCAACUCCGGAUCUGCGGUGGGUACGGGCAGACUAGAGUGAUGUAGGGGAGACUGGAAUUCCUGGUGUAGCGGUGAAAUGCGCAGAUAUCAGGAGGAACACCGAUGGCGAAGGCAGGUCUCUGGGCAUUAACUGACGCUGAGGAGCGAAAGCAUGGGGAGCGAACAGGAUUAGAUACCCUGGUAGUCCAUGCCGUAAACGUUGGGCACUAGGUGUGGGGGACAUUCCACGUUUUCCGCGCCGUAGCUAACGCAUUAAGUGCCCCGCCUGGGGAGUACGGCCGCAAGGCUAAAACUCAAAGGAAUUGACGGGGCCCGCACAAGCGGCGGAGCAUGCGGAUUAAUUCGAUGCAACGCGAGAACCUUACCAAGGCUUGACAUGGACGGACGCGCAGAAAUGUGGUUUCCCCUUUGGGGCGUUCACAGGUGGUGCAUGGUUGUCGUCAGCUCGUGUUCGUGAGAAUG
rnacentral:rRNA from 1 species